UACGGGGGGUGCGAGCGUUGUCCGGAAUCACUGGGCGUAAAGGGCGCGUAGGUGGUUUGAUAAGGGUGUGGUGAAAGUCCGGAGCUCAACUCCGGAUCUGCCGUGCCGACUGUCAAACUCGAGGGCUGUAGAGGCAGACGGAAUUCCGGGUGUAGCGGUGGAAUGCGUAGAGAUCCGGAAGAACACCGGUGGCGAAGGCGGGUCUCUGGGCCGAUACUGACACUGAGGAGCGAAAGCGUGGGGAGCGAACAGG
rnacentral:rRNA from 1 species